UACGUAGGGUGCAAGCGUUAUCCGGAAUUACUGGGCGUAAAGGGCUCGUAGGCGGCCAACUAAGUCAUACGUGAAAUCCCUCAGCUUAACUGGGGAACUGCGUGUGAUACUGGAUGGCUUGGAUUUGGGAGAGGGAUGCGGAAUUCCAGGUGUAGCGGUGAAAUGCGUAGAUAUCUGGAGGAACACCGGUGGCGAAGGCGGCAUCCUGGACCAAUAUUGACGCUGAGGAGCGAAAGCUAGGGGAGCAAACGGG
rnacentral:rRNA from 1 species